rnacentral:rRNA from 1 species
AUUGAACGCUGGCGGAAUGCUUUACACAUGCAAGUCGAACGGCAGCACGGACUUCGGUCUGGUGGCGAGUGGCGAACGGGUGAGUAAUGUAUCGGAACGUGCCCAGUCGUGGGGGAUAACGUAGUGAAAAUUACGCUAAUACCGCAUACGAUCUAUGGAUGAAAGCGGGGGAUCGCAAGACCUCGCGCGAUUGGAGCGGCCGAUAUCAGAUUAGGUAGUUGGUGGGGUAAAGGCCCACCAAGCCAACGAUCUGUAGCUGGUCUGAGAGGACGACCAGCCACACGGGAACGGAGACACGGUACAGACUCCUACGGGAGGCAGCAGUGGGGAAUUUUGGACAAUGGGCGAAAGCCUGAUCCAGCCAUUCCGCGUGCAGGAUGAAGGCCCUCGGGUUGUAAACUGCUUUUGUACAGAACGAAAAGGUUUCUACUAAUACUAGGAGCUCAUGACGGUACUGUAAGAAUAAGCACCGGCUAACUACGUGCCAGCCGCCGCGGUAA